AUUGAACGCUGGCGGCAGGCCUAACACAUGCAAGUCGAACGCGUGGCGGACGGGUGAGUUAUGUCUGGGAAACUGCCUGAUGGAGGGGGAUAACCACUGGAAACGGUAGCUCAUACCGCAUUCCCCCAGAUGUGCCCAUAUGGGAGUAGAUAGUGGGUGGGGUAACGGCUCACCAAGGCGACGAUCCCUAGCUGGUCUGAGAGGAUGACCAGCAACACUGAAAAGGAGACACGGUCCAGACUCCAACGGGAGGCAUAAGUGGGGAAUAGUGGACAAUGGGCGCAAGCCUGAUGCAGCCAUGCCGAGUGUAUGAAGAAGGCAUUCGGGUUGUAAAGUAAUUUCAGAGGGGAGGCGGUACCCGCAGAAGAAGCACCGGCUAACUCCGUGCCAGCAGCCGCGGUAAUUC
rnacentral:rRNA from 1 species